rnacentral:ncRNA from 1 species
UGAAUAACUUUGAGAGGGAUUAGUAGUAAUUGUUGUUCUUUUUAGAGAGUUGACGGUCGCUGCAAGUCAACAGGACACAUUAUGAACUCACCCUGGAGUUGCAAGCCUGAACUAAGAGUAAGGUUUGCCGUACAUCUGCGUUAAAGAGUCGAGCCGGAUGCAUAUUUACUGCAUCAAUCAGGGUGGUACCGCGGGAAGUUAAUAACAAGCCUCUCGUCCCUACU